CCUACGGGGGGCUGCAGUAAGGAAUAUUGGUCAAUGGACGCAAGUCUGAACCAGCCAUGCCGCGUGAAGGAUGAAGGUCCUCUGGAUUGUAAACUUCUUUUAUUUGGGACGAAAAAAGAUCAUUCUUGAUCACUUGACGGUACCAUUUGAAUAAGCACCGGCUAACUCCGUGCCAGCAGCCGCGGUAAUACGGAGGGUGCAAGCGUUAUCCGGAUUCACUGGGUUUAAAGGGUGCGUAGGCGGACAAUUAAGUCAGUGGUGAAAUCUCGGAGCUU
rnacentral:rRNA from 1 species